UCUCCAAUGAAGUUCUUUAGCCAUAUAGCCUCUUUUCCCGCCUCGCUUUCCGCUAUAUACUAUGAUUUGCAAGUUGAAUUAGCCACUGUCUCCUGCUUGGAACUUUUCCAAGAGAUUGCUCCUCCAUUUAAGGUAAAGACCCAGCCCGACUGAGAGCAGAAAUUAUCCCUAUCAGUAUGGAAGCUAGCAUCAAUAUACCCUACAACUCUCAAGUCAUCACUCACACCAAGGGUAAGGACCCAGUCCUUAGUCCUCCGCAGGUACUUGAGAAUAUUCUUUACCGCUAUCCAGUGAGCCUUACCAGCAUUCCCUUGAUACCUGCUAACCAUGCUUAAAGCAAAGGCUACAUCAGGACGAGUACAGGUCAUAGCGUACAUGAUCGAGCCUAUUGCCGAAGCAUAAGGUAUACGACUCGUUUCACUUAUCUCGGGACUUGCCUCGGGGCUAGAGUAUGAUACCGGGACUUCGGGAUAGCUUCGGCACGAAAAACGAUGCAAAAGACUAGAGAGAAGAGAAGAAAUUGAACAACAAAGAAGGCUGUCUUCGGAUCCUUUAUAUAGAGGCUGGAACCUCGGAGUACGCGGGGCGUACGCCUGUACGCGGGGCGUACAGGGCUCCGAAAUCGUCAUUGCAUGCGUCAUCCGAAGUGUCGACACUAUCGGAGUACGCGGGGCGUUCUCGCGUACGCGGGGCGUACCUCGGAUCAGACGGGUGACUCGGCUUCGGAUAAUACCUUCGAUUUUUGAAUUAAAUAUAAAUACAAAAUGAUUAUUAUUCAUAACUUCCUCAUACGAAGUCAGAUUUGGGCGUUCUAUAUAUAUUCGGAAACCUCGUUUCAACUACUACAACAUUAUACAAAGAUAUUAAGUUUAUUUUACACUUAAAUUUUGACGCUUAUUUUUAUUCUUAAUUAUUCAAACCACAUAAUUAAGCAAUUAAGCACAAAACACAUAAUACUCAAAUAAUACAUUAUUAUUAUUUCAAAACGGGUUACAAAGGUUAACCUAGACUAUUACAUUGCUAAAAGUGGCAAGCCCGGAAACACAGGCGUUACAAUUCUCCCCACCUUAGAAUGAUUCCGUCCCCGGAAUCACACAUCAACAAACAAAUGCGGAUAGCGACUCAACAUGUCACUCUCCGUCUCCCAGGUGAGAUUCGGCCCAUUCGUGUGUUUCCAUCGGACAAGGACUAACCCAACCAUUUUGCGUCGCAACUUCUUAGUCUUUCGGUCAACAAUUGCCUCUGGUUCUUCAAUCAACCUUUUGUUCUCAUCAAUUCUCAAUUCAGAAAUUGGAAUUAUAUCGGGAACUUCUCCCGUGAACUUCCUCAAAUAACACACAUGAAAGGUGUUGUGAAUUCCAUUCAGUUCUUCGGGUAAUUCGAGCUUGUAAGCUUGAUUCCCAAUCCUCUGAAGGACUUUAAACGGUCCAAUAAACCUUGGACUCAACUUUCCCCUUUUACCAAAUCUUAUAAGUCCCUUCCACGGCGAGACUUUAAGCAAAACCGAAUCUCCAACCUCAAAAGUCAUCGGUCUUCGCUUCUUGUCAGCAUAGCUCUUUUGACGAUCUUGAGCUGCUAACAUUCUUUCCCUAAUUAUUUUCAACUUUUCAGCAGUUUGAUGAACCAUCUCCGGUCCCAUAAACUGCUUUUCCCCAGCCUCAAGCCAACAAGACGGCGUACGACACUUCUGUCCAUACAAAGCUUGAUAAGGUGCCAUCUUAAUGCUCGAGUGAAAACUAUUAUUAUAGGAAAAUUCUACCAACGGUAAAUGUUCAUCCCAAUUACCUAGGAAUUCCAAGGUACAUGCUCUCAGCAUAUCUUCAAGUGUUUGUAUUGUUCUUUCACUCUGACCAUCAGUCUGCGGAUGGUAAGCUGUGCUUAAACAUAACUUGGUACCCAUUUCCUCUUGUAGACUUUUCCAAAACCUUGAGGUGAAACGGCUAUCACGAUCCGAUACAAUCGUUAACGGAACACCGUGAAGCCUCACAAUUUCCUUCACGUAAGAAUUCGCAAGCUUUUCCAUAGACCAUUUCUCCCUGGCCGCUAUGAAAUGCGCACUCUUAGUGAAUCGAUCAACGACCACCCAAAUCAUGUCGUGACCAUUCUUUGUUCUGGGCAGUUUAGUGACAAAAUCCAUAGCAAUGUCUUCCCACUUACCCAUAGGCACAGGCAAUGGUUCUAAACUCCCGUAAGGUUUCUGAUGUUGUGUCUUGACUCUCGCACAAGUCACACACUCGGCCACAUACUUUGCAACAUCAAGCUUCAUCGUCGGCCACCAGUAGUAGGGUUUCAGGUCCCUAUACAUUUUAGUGCUACCCGGAUGAAUUGAGUACAUGGUUUUGUGAGCUUCUUCCAUCAGAAGAUCCCUAAUUCCUCCUGACUUAGGUACCCAAAUACGAUCUUGGAAUACCUUCAGUCCAUGACCGUUAGUACCAAACACCAACGUUUUACCCAAACGUUCCUCCUUUCGGUCAUUUUUCUCAGAAGCUUCCUCUUGAGCUUUCUUUAUACUUUCCACAAUAGUCGAGACAACUUCAAUUCUCAACGCUCUUGGCCUCUUCCUUUCAAGAUUGACUUUCCGACUGAGAGCAUCAGCAACAACAUUAGCUUUACCGGGGUGGUAAAGUAUCUCGCAGUCGUAGUCUUUAAGUAAUUCUAGCCAGCGUCGUUGCCUCAUAUUCAAUUCUUUCUGAUUAAAGAGGUAUUGGAGACUCUUAUGAUCAGUGAAAAGUUUGCACUUCGUGCCAUAGAGGUAAUGCCUCCAUAUUUUCAGAGCGAAAACUACCGCUGCCAACUCCAAAUCAUGAGUCGGGUAAUUCUUUUCAUGCUCUUUCAGCUGUCGAGACGCAUAUGCUAUCACCUUUUCUCUUUGGGUCAAAACACAACCCAAUCCAACACCAGACGCAUCGCUAUAAACAGCGAAGUCUUCAACUCCAUCGGGUAGAGAAAGUAUCGGUGCCUCGCAUAGCUUCUUCUUUAACUUCUCGAAUGCUUCUUUAUGCUUCUCACUCCAAGCAUAAGUAGCUCCUUUGUGGGUCAAAGCUGUUAAUGGAGUAGCAAUCGAAGAAAAGCCUUGGAUAAACCUUCGGUAAUAUCCGGCUAAUCCUAAAAAGCUUCGAAUCUCCGUGGGACUUUUCGGUUGUUCCCACUUCGUCACAGCUUCGAUCUUCGCUGGAUCAACCAUUAUCCCUUCUUGGUUGACCACGUGACCCAAGAAUUGGACCUCACGAAUCCAAAAAUCACAUUUGGAGAACUUCGCAUAAAGCUUCUCCUUCUUCAAAACUUCUAACACUUCUCGCAAGUGUCUGCCAUGCUCCUCCUGGCUUUUCGAGUAGAUCAGAAUGUCGUCUAUGAACACUAUCACGGAUUUAUCAAGGAAAGGAUUACAAACCCUAUUCAUCAAAUCCAUGAACGCUGCUGGAGCAUUGGUUAGUCCAAACGACAUAACCAAGAACUCGUAGUGUCCAUAUCUAGUUCUGAAUGCAGUCUUCUCGAUAUCUUGCUCUCUUACUUUCAGCUGAUGAUAUCCUGACCUAAGAUCGAUCUUCGAGAAAUAGCUCGAACCUUGCAAUUGAUCAAACAGGUCAUCAAUCCUCGGCAACGGAUAUCUAUUCUUUAUUGUUGCCUUGUUCAGCUCUCUGUAAUCGAUGCACAUUCUCAUACUUCCAUCUUUCUUCUUUACAAAUAACACCGGAGCUCCCCAGGGCGAUGAACUAGGUCUAAUGAAACCUUUGUCCAAUAACUCCUGAAGUUGCAUCAUCAGCUCCUUCAUCUCCGUCGGUGCUAAUCGAUAAGGUGCUUUUGCUAUUGGCGUGGUUCCUGGUAACAAGUCUAUUCUGAACUCCACUUGUCUAUCAGGUGGUAAUCCAGGAAGAUCCUCGGGAAAUACUUCCGGAUAAUCACACACCACUGGAAUACUCUGCAUCACCUUCUUUUCUUUCUUAGCAUCAAUCACGAAUGCUAAAUAUGAUGUACAUCCCUUGGUCAAACACUUUCUGGCUUUCAUUAGAGAAAUGAUUCCAGAAUUCACUCUGCGUUUGUCCCCAUACACCAUAAACGAAUCUUUCCCAGGCGGGUUUACUUUAACUAUCUUCUUCUUGCACAAAAUUUCGGCAUCAUUGGCGCUAAGCCAAUCCAUUCCCAAGACGAUGUCGAAACCAUUUAGUUCGAUAGGCAAUAAUUCCUCGAGAAACUUAUUCCCAUUAAGGUCGAUCAAGACGUUUUUCAUACGAUGGCUAACAGGUACAAACUUGCCACUAGCUACUUCGACUAAUAAAGCAUUAUCUAGUCUAUCAACAGGCAAAGCUAGCUUUCUACCAAACUCAUGCGAAAUAAAGGAGUAGUUGGCUCCAGAAUCAAACAAUAUAUGAGCAGGUAAUUCGUUUACGAGAAAGGUACCUGAAGCGACAUCAGCUUCAUCUUUCGCAGCCUCAAGUGUCAUCUGGAAGGCUCUCGCCUUCGGCUUUGGUGGAAUGUUGGGCCUAGCUGCCUCCUUCUUCUUCGGACAGUCUUUCAAAAUAUGCCCCUCUUCAUUACACCCAAAACACAUCCUUUUGUUGUUCGGACAUUCAUUGGCAAAAUGUCCAACCUUUCCACACUUGUAGCAGGUCACAUCCUCGCUACAUUUCCCAAAGUGCUUUUUCUUACACUUAUCACACCACUUUGCUUCGCCUCCUUUUCCUCCAAACUUUUUCGAAUCAGAUUUCGAAAAUUUGCUCUUCUUACUGGAACCAGAUGUUCCUUCAAACUUCCUUUUCUCACCAACCUCAACCUUGACGGUGGUUCUCCCCUUGAUCAUGUUCUCAACAGACUUGGCAGCCCAGAUAGCUGCCUCUAGAGUAAGUGCCUGACGUACUGGCACCUCGUACUCCCAUGGAAGUCCCUUCGCAUACCGAUCCACCUUUGUCAGCUCGUCUGGAACGAUACGCAAGGCAAACUCCAUCUUAUCGGUGAAGUUAUUGGUGUACUCAUCCACUGACAUGCUACCCUUCGUCAAUGUCAAAAACUUGUUCUCCAACUCCAACAGAUUUUGAGCCGAGCAGAACUUGCGCUUGAACUGCACCAAGAACUCUGCCCAUGACAAUUGCAGUGGCUCAUUAGGGCUUAAGGUCUUCCCUAGAGUGUUCCACCAACGAACAGCUCCACCUCGGAAUUGACGCACGGCAUAGAUAGUUUGCAACUUACCUCUGCAGCCACACGUCAUGAAGGCUAGCUCCAUUUCGGAGAUCCAAUCCAUAACCCCAAUCGGAUCCUCCUUUCCAUUGAAGGUCGAUGGUUUGCAAGUCAAAAAGUCCUUGUACUUGCAUCCCAUUCCAUCAUUCCUUCCUUCAUGGUUAUCUUGCCUAACUAUCGGUGGGUUGGCUUGACCAAUAGACCCACUGAAGUUUCCACCUUCUGAGUGCCCUUCAUUCAGUUCAGGCUCUUCCACACGAAUCGACAGUUCUUCACGAUUCUGUUGAAGCAACCGUCUAGUUUCAUCCAUCUGACGAUCCAACAUCGUCUGAAUCAUCAAUUGCACACCAGCCAUGGUUAUUGGCUCAGGUGCUGCUGCUACGACAGGUAUUGGCUCAAUCACUGGUGGUUGAUUCCUGUUUUCGUCAGCAUUUCCAACUCCAUUUCUUGUUCUCACCAUUUUGAUCUCCACACCGAAUAAGGUGAAAUUAGAUCCUCAAUCAUGAUAGAUAUUCAAAUCAUCCUUAUCACACCGAAACGUUUACAUGCUAGUUCUAAUACCGUAGACGUACGCUUAGAAUCCUACACACAUAAGGUUUCUAGAUCCGGUCGGCAACAGACCAUAGAUCCGAACAAAUAAUAUCAUAUAUGGCAACAUAUAACAUUUAGCACAUAAAGCAUUUUAGGCAACUUUCCUAAAAUAAACUAGUAUGUCAUCCACAUACAGUACCAAAAAGCUAACUAUACUCCCACUAGCCUUAACAUAUACACAAGAUUAAUCUUCCCUUCUCGAAAAGCCAAACUGUUUGACUUUCUCAUCAAAGCAGAGAUUCCAUCUGCGAGGUACUUGCUUUAAUCCAUAAAUGGAUUUCUCAAGCUUACACACUCUAUUAGGGUACUCUGUGCUGACAAAACCCACUGGCUGAUUCAUGUAAACAUCCUCAGCCAACUUUCCAUUAAGGAAAGCGGUUUUGACAUCCAUUUGCCAUAUUUCAUAGUCAUGAAAUGCAACUAUGGCUAACAAUACCCUAAUAGACUUAAUCUAGGCUAGUGGUCAAAAGGUCUCAUCAUAAUCAACUCCUAGAGUUUGAGAAAAGCCCUUUGCAAGCAGUCAUGCCUUAUAGGUGUGUACAUUACCAUCCAUAUCAGUCUUCUUCUUGAAGAUCCAUUUGCACCCAACUGUCUUACGACCUGGUACAUUGUCAACCAAGUCCCAGACCUGAUUUUCAUACAUGGACUGUAUCUUGCAAUCCAUUGCCUCUUUCCAUUUAGCAGACUCGGGGCCUUCCAUGGCUUCCACAUAGCUGUUAGGUUCAUCCAGACCUAUCAGUGUCCCAUCACUGAUAAAUGUAUCACCUUCCACAGUAAUGUGGAAUCCAUAGUAAUGCUCAGGUACAUUCCUAAUCCUUGUGGAACGCCUCAGAGGUACAAUUGGAGGUACAACAUGAGUUUCCCCCCCCCACCCCCAAGUUGGCUGCUAGGGUUUGAGGUUCCUUCACCACUUGACUCUUGAAAUUCUUCAAGGUCGAUUAGCCUCCCACUGUUUCCUUGGCUUAUGAACUCUCUCUCAAAAGACAACCCUCCUUGCUACAUAGACCACAUUCUCACUGGGUCUGUAGAAGAGGUAACGAAAGGAUUUUUGUGGGUAGCCGAUGAAAAUACACCUCUCACUUCGAGGUUCGAGCUUUUCAUGAGUCUCACGUCUCACGAAAGCCUCGCAACCCCAAACCUUGAUGUGGGCUAGACUACGAACUUUUCCAGUCCACAUCUCUUGAUGUGUUUUGGCAACCUUCUUUGUAGGGACCAGAUUAAGGAUAUGGGUGGCAGUCUCUAAGGCAUACCCCCAAAAUGAGAUUGGUAGCGAAGCUCGACUCAUCAUGGAACGAACCAUAUCCAACAAGGUUCGAUUACGCCUCUCAGUCACACCAUUCAACUACAGUGUCGAGGAACUCGGUACUAAAAUACUCACCACCACGAUCAGAUCGAAGCAUCUUAAUGUUCCUGCCCAAUUAAUUCUCAACUUCCUGUUUAAACUCUUUAAACCUUUCAAAAGUCUCUGACUUAUGCUUGAUUAAAUAGAUGUGACAUCCCCAAAAUCUCGGCCAGAAAAGACCGAUUUUCAUUUAUGCUUUUAAAUAUUUUCAGAGUAAAUCCUUUUGAUUUGAAAGAGUUGCGGAAUUUGUUCCCAAAAACAAAACAUGAUAAAACAUUGUUUACCGAAGCAUUUCAUAAAAGAAAUGUAUUUUCAUUAUAAUCAAAACUCGGGGUGUCAUGUUCCGAUACAGACCAAUAAGCAUAAACGAAUACAUUACAAGUCAUAUAACAAAUAUAAACAUAUGCAGACUUGUAAACAAAACAACUUGAUGGUUCAUCCAUCUCAUGCCCUUCCGCCACUACCUGUAAUACAAUUUAAAACUGAGUGGGUCAGGCUUGGGAGCCUGGUGAGCAUAUAGGGUUUUCAACCCACAAUAAAUAUCAUAUUUAAUUUUCACCAACCAACAAUAACCCAAUUACCCAUUCCCGUUAUUCUCACUUUAAUGUCCCUAAAACAACUAACAUAAGGGACCUAGUCUAAGAAUAUUUCAUCGGGGCGACAACACAUGCUUCGGGGGUACCUCAGCAAUAUAAGUCAAAUAAGGCAACCAUGAGGGGGAUGGAGUACAGCGAAUGAACACCCAAGUUCAUUAACACCUACAGGUGGCGAACCUGCUAAUGUUUCCACAAGACUGUCUAGAAUAGCCAGUGGUCGUCAUCUAAACUCCGCUAGAUGACUCAAUCAAACAACAACGAGGCCUCUCAUCUGUUUAUUACACACCAACUGUCUACCCAUGUUCUACCCAACAUAUUAGUAGAUAAAAAUAUACAUUUGUAUACAUAGUUUAAAGAAAACCUGUAUAGCAUGCUUUAAUCAACACAUAUAUCACAUAACAGAUGAGGCACACACACACAUAACACAUAUCUCAUAAAGAAAUAAGCAGAUCUAUAAGAUAGAAGAGAGUGAAUACUCAUUCACACAUAACACAACCAAAUAUAUACACAUAGCACGUAUUUUUAUAUAAAAUACUUCGUAUUAUUGUAUUAGAAGAAAUAACUACACACUCACUUGAUCAGAAGAUGAUCGGACAGCACUACGGCUUAUAGAAGUAGUAAUCCACAGCAGAUCUGGAAGAUCUUCUCGAAAAUCGAACUUCUCGCGGGCAGAGCUUCGACUCGGGAACCGCACUUUUCGGGAUCUUCGGGAUCUCGGGACUUGCCUCGGGGCUAGAGUAUGAUACCGGGACUUCGGGGUAGCUUCGGGGGUUUUUGCACAGAGCUUCGACACGAAAACGAGAGGGAAUUGGCAAAAAUACCCGGAACCCUCGCAUCCUAUUUAUAGGAGGCUGGAGCCUCGGAGUACGCGGGGCGUACUGCGUUACGCGGGGCGUACUGCCCAAAACGUCAUUGCUUACGUAUCCGAAGUGCUCGAGUGCGAGUGUCGACAUCCCUCGGAGUAC
rnacentral:lncRNA from 1 species